ensembl:lncRNA
UAGUGUCACAGGUCGGAGCUGACCACAGAUGUUGUGAGUCACGCCCCUUCCUAAUUUCCACCUCGAGGAGGUCCCAAGAAUACCCCAAUGACCAGACACACGAGAGCCGGUAAGUAAAUUUUAAAACAGACUUUAUUAAAUUACUAAAAAAAAAGGGUAUGGGGAAGGGAGGCUAAAAUCCAACCCUCCUUUUGGAGAGUAACAAUCUCGAGUCUCUUAGACUCCGUCACGGGAGAUCUCAGGUGAGUCCUUCACUCCUCUUUCCUUCUGGCUAUGUGACGACAAUCAGCUUAUUCACAAGUGCCCCUUUGUUCUGACUUGCAGGACGACUGUCCAGGGCCCUCUCCUUUCCUGGACGUAACAGAUACAAGUGGUAAGUAUUGAGAGUUUGGAUGCACAAUGGAUACCUGCUGCUACCUUUGACGAACUCCGAGGCGGCCCAGCGGGUUGUACUCCCGGUCGUCCAGCUGCUGGGGGAACUGCACAAGGGCUACCGGGUUCCAACUAAAACCGUACUGGUAAGUGUACGGGAGGGGGUUUCCGCGGUCUCUGUAUCCUGAGUGACGAGUCGACAUGCAGGUAGACGCUUCAAAGGGACCCGCUAGAUCUGCACAAAAGCAUAAGUGUAAGUGUAACAGGACUGGACACGGAUAGUGGACAGAGGGGCCGCUGGCUCUUCACUCGGAGGCACAAGUAAGUCCGUAGGAAAGACAACUGGGGUUUCACUUGAGCAUGCAGGCGAGUGUACAACACAAUAUGCUGGCUUUAGCUUUGGGCAUAAGGUAAGUACAUCCAAUAUAACUGGGACUUCACUUGGGCAUACAGGAGCGUACAACACAAUAUGCUGGCUUUAGCUUUGGGCAUAAAGGUAAGUACAUCCAAUAUAACUGGGACUUCACUCUGGGCAGACAGGCGAGUGUACAACACAAUAUGCUGGCUUUAGCUUUGGGCAUAAGGUAAGUACAUCAAAGGUAACUGGGACUUCACUCUGGGCAGACAGGUGAGUGUACAACACAAUAUGCUGGCUUUAGCUUUGGGCAUACGUUUACGGUGAAUAUACAGGGAAACAGGAAGUGAUGUAACUCACAGACCUUCGAGGGAAUAGACGUCAGACGUUCCUUUUCUGAGGCUUCUACCAACCGACAAGUCAAGAGAUCUAGACAGGGGCGAACCUUUGAAGAACUCCACAGCAGGUAAUAAUACACGCACAGCUGAUUUCCUCCUACAGCAGCCAACUCCUCACCAUUAAUACUUCCCAGUAGAUCCACACUGUUCUUACUUGAAAUUGUUUCCCACCACCGUCACGUGGGGAAGAAGGGUCAGGAUGUCAUCGACGGCAUAUAAUUGGAGAUGUUUUCUUCGAGCCUCGGUAUUCACUUCCUUCACAGGAUUUCGUCGGGCCUGAAAGGUGGUUGUUGACGACACAACACAGCACAACACUGCAAUUUUCAAGUGUAUACACUCACAGCAAAGGACAAAGACUCACCCACUGCACUCCACACACUCUGGUGAAUUUAGGGUCAACACCCCGUCUGACCAAAGACUCUUCCUGGAAGUCGUGAAGACACUGAUGCCACGAAUAUUCAGAUUUAAACGUUGCCGCCACAACAGCCCAACAUCCUCUCUCGCUCACUGGUCCCGGCUCACCCACAAUCCUCCUCCACAGUGGGGCCGCUCACAUACUAUGCCACAAACUCACAAAACGCUCACAGAUGGUUCACUCUAGAUGAUUAUACUGCUGUACGAUGGUUUAGGGUACUCACACCGUUACUACACGAGGUCUCUUUUCCCUCUUCUUUCCAGCUCCUGGGUACUUCUCCUGCUGCCACGUGCCCUGUCGAAAAGGCCUCCUUCGGCGAUACUUCCGGUGAGUCUUCCUGUUUUCAACCACUCAGAAUUUGUUACACAUGUCCAUGGAGCAUUUCACAGUUAAGUAGACAUUCCAAUAUACUCAGCCCGGUGUCUGUUUCUGCCAAACCCUUGUCUCCGUCUUUGCCCAGCCAACAAUAUCCUCUGCCUUCUUUCCACGGUACUCGCCCAAACACUCCAACUCUCUCGCCGUAUCGGCUGAAAUAAAACAAAGAACUUUUUCCCCCCCUCUGCAGUUUCUGAGGCCCUCUUUAUACUCCUCCUUCUCUUCAUACUGCCCAAUCCACGAUCGCCCCGUUCAUCUAUCCACCUGCGAUCAAUAAAACCCUGAUUUCCCUUCCCGGAGUUCCCGGUGUUUGAGAAUUAUGGUCCGGGUGGAACCAAUCUCCGUCAUUUUUUAGUUCCGCCCUUACGAAGUCACUCCGUGACACU